AAAAAAAAAAAGAGGGCAGCUUUGCACUACACUCUAAGAAAAAAAAGAGUCAAAAGAGGGUCAUAGAACCGUGACCCUCUUCGGGCGUCCAUGUGACCCCUUUUGGAAGGUACAGGCAGAGAAAAAGAGUUAACAUUUUGCAAGGAGUCACUGGACGCUCCUGAAGCGCGUUUCGAAUGGCUUCCGUCAUGAAAGAGCCGCCGAUACGCCAUACAUAUCGCGCGCUUGCCCUUUGGCGCCGUUGUGGCGCGUUGCUCGCCGACGGAGACGGGGUUGGCGCCGGGGUGGCGCGCCGCUUCUGGCUUCUCUCUCAGUCGUCUCACUGGUCUCACUCAGUCUCAGUGUCCUCGUCUAUUGGAAUGCCUUGCGUGGUUGCGUUGACAGUCCGGCUUGCGUGUCUUGAAGUUUCAUCAGUUUCAUGUUCAUGCGCGUCUUCGGUGGUCGGCUCCGUGCACGAAGUGACGCUUGGAGGGCGGAAUAUUCAUGGAGGUGCGGAUACGGACAACGGGCGCCAGUUAACGAAUCCCGGAUCACUUCUGCCGCCUCUUCACUCCAGUUGACAGCCACACUCGGGGAAACGAAGGUGCCCCGUUGGUCUGGCGCCUCACCGCUCGCGAUGGGAAAAUCAACAGCGGCGUUCGCCGUGUCAACAAGGCAGUCGGUCCUACAUUUCUUUUGGUUGGACAAGACGACGUCGGAAAAGAGAUACCGUUUUUCACGGUGCUCACGCUGAACAGGAGCGACAACCUAGCAAGCCACAAGUCUGAUGCCUCCAGCCGUCACCAUUUUUUUAUUUAUUCUUAAUCAUGAGG